CAGCAGCCACAGCAGUCGCAGGCAUUAGUGUGGCUGGAAAGAGCAUCGUCGGAGUUUCAGAAUCUGACGACCGGGUGGGCCACUUGGGCAAGUCGCCCUGUCUUCCCCAGAAAGGGGAAGCAGAAGGCGGAGAGCCCACCAUCCGAUCAUGAUUCCUCCCCCAGAGAGUCCCUACCUCCGUUCCACCAGAAGACCUUCGAGACUCGCAGUCGAGAGGACCUCCUGGAUCAAAGAUUCUGGGAGAUGAACC
rnacentral:lncRNA from 1 species